UAAAACAAAAAUACUUUCUCUUUUCUUCUCCCUUUCCCUUUCCUUUUCUGAAGAACUACGCUUUCCCUUUCCUUUCUCUGAUAUUGUGCUGAAGAUCGAGCUUUUUUCUUGAAGUCACGCUUUCCCUGUCCUUCUCCAAGCUGAAGAACUCACAAUUUCUCUUAUCCGAGCUGAAUAUCGAACUGAAGAUCGAGCUAAAGAUCGAGCUGCAGAACUCACCGAGCUGACCGAUCUUUCGCUUCUCCGAGCUGAACAUUUCGUGAAGAUUUCUCGUUGAAGGACUUAAUUUCAGACAGUUUUAGGGUUCACCGGCUAUAAAACUCUUGAAACAUGAAGAUUCUUCUCUCCAGAUUUUGAUUUUCUCAACGAAAUGAAGAGUUAAUGCUAAAGAACUGGGGAUCGAAGAAAUAAAAAUCGAAGAGCUGAAGGACGGAAGCUGAAGAACUGAUUUCAUCAAUGUCCUUGGUGCCUGCAAUACUCACAGUAUGGGGGAUGUUUUCAUAUGGUCAUUCUUUCCAUUCAAGCUUGCCUUCAAUGGUCAUUCUUUGUUCUGUUCAGACAGUGUUGUAAUCAAGUUUAUUUUACAGUUGGGAAUAUCAGAAACUAGAGCAGCCAUUCACUGGCGAGCAUGGAAGACCCUGAAGAAGAGUAUUUCCCUUCUACCCUUAUUAGGUGUGUGAUCAAUCUCAUGUGUGAAUACUUUUUGACUUGGGAAUGAAUACUUUGAGCCGGCUAAUGUGAUUUCUUAUGCGGUGCACCAUCUCAUAUAUCAUUAAGCUGCCAAUCUUGAUCUACAUCACACUUUGAGGUAUUGGUAUUCUUUCGAUGACAUGCUUAUGUGAUCUAAGUCACUGCUAAAAGAGCUUUCUCUAUAUUCUUAGGCAGGACCUUGGCAACAACUGUGAUAUAAAGGUUUUAGGAGAGCGAGCUAUUGUCAUCUGCGAUUCAAUUUUCUUGACCUAUCAAACUAGUUGGAAAAACAAAAUUGUAGAUGAGUACCUUUAGCUUUGUGCGUCAAACAGACAAUGUACCAUUUCUAUCAAGAAAGACUUCAUAUGAUCUCUUGUAAUUUCAACAUUUUCUUUUUUAUCAAAUAUAGUAAUAAUUUCAUGUUGAGUUCCAA